AGGGCAGCCAAGUCGUGAGGCGGAGCUAAUCCCUUAAAGCCAUUCUCAGUUCGGAUUGUAGGCUGAAACUCGCCUACAUGAAGCUGGAGUUGCUAGUAAUCGCAGAUCAGAAUGCUGCGGUGAAUGCGUUCCCGGGUCUUGUACACACCGCCCGUCACACCACGGAAGUUGGGGGCGCCCGAAGCCACUUAGCUAACCCUUUUGGGAAGCGAGUGUCGAAGGUGAAAUCAAUAACUGGGGUGAAGUCGUAACAAGGUAAC
rnacentral:rRNA from 1 species